rnacentral:lncRNA from 1 species
AAAGGAACGAUUCAUCCCACCUCUACACCAUAAUUUAUGUUAAUAAUUUCGAAUUUUUUUAGCCGUGCUGUCGUAUAACAUUUAAUUAGGAAAUUCCGAAGGACCAGUCAGCUGAAAUGUUAAAAAAUGUUACCAAAUGUUCAUACAAUACGUUGCGAAAUUACUGUUACUUUGCUAUUACAUCUAUUACUUAGAUUGUUUAGCCGAAUUUAGAAUACUUAUGCAAUAGGAAUAGAAAGCACAUGAAAGUAUUGACAGUAUUACAUUUGAAUGAAUUUUGAAGGGAUAUUUUAAUCAGUUGUGAACAUUCUCAAACAAGGCCUUCAAAAACCCUUAUCGAGGUCAAAAACCACAUGUAGGUCCUUUAUCGUCAAGGUGAGGUACAAACAUAACAAUGUAGCGGUUACUUUGGAACCAAGUAGCCUGGAGCACUUUCUGGUUCAAACCGGAUAUUUAUGACCGAAACUAACAACUAUGAAUAGGUAAUAAAUACCUUAAAGAAGAAUCCGUUUUUAGGGCAGCUUUAACACAUUCCUUACAUAAUUUAUCACCAGAAGCAAGUGGAGAGAGAGUAGGACAACAGUACAUAUUCUCUCUUAAAAAUAACAGUAAAACUAAAUGAAAUCAAAGUAUUAAUGUCAUCAGUUAUAAAUAACAACUAUGGUUGGUUAUAAUUAUUUUAGUGACUGGAAUAUAUAUUAUGCAAAAUGCAUUUUUUGUAGAUCUUGCAUAUUUUGCAUAAAUUUCAUAUUUUUAGGUACAAGAAUUUGCAUAUAUCAGCAUAUUUUUUUUAUAAAAAUAAAUGUGUAAUGCCAAUA